CCUACGGGAGGCAGCAGUGGGGAAUUUUGGGCAAUGGGCGCAAGCCUGACCCAGCCACGCCGCGUGAGUGAUGAAGGCCUUCGGGUUGUAAAGCUCUGUCGGGAGGAACGAAUAAACUCGGCCAACACCCGAGACUGACGGUACCUCCAAAGGAAGCAACGGCUAACUCUGUGCCAGCAGCCGCGGUAAUACAGAGGUUGCAAGCGUUGUUCGGAAUUAUUGGGCGUAAAGCGCGUGUAGGCGGUCCGUUAUGUCGAAUGUGAAAGCCCUUGGCUUAACCAAGGAAGUGCAUCCGAAACUGGCGGACUUGAGUACCGGAGAGGGUGGCGGAAUUCCCGGUGUAGAGGUGAAAUUCGUAGAGAUCGGGAGGAACACCCGUGGCGAAGGCGGCCACCUGGACGGAUACUGACGCUGAGACGCGAAAGCGUGGGUAGCAAACAGGAUUAGAUACCCUGGUAGUCCACGCUGUAAACGAUGGUCACUAGCUGUCGCGGGUAUUGACCCCUGCGGUGGCGACGCUAACGCAUUAAGUGACCCGCCUGGGGAGUACGGUCGCAAGACUAAAACUCAAAGGAAUUGACGG
rnacentral:rRNA from 1 species